rnacentral:rRNA from 1 species
GACGAACGCUGGCGGCGUGCCUAAUACAUGCAAGUUGAGCGCUGAAGGUUGGUACUUGUACCAACUGGAUGAGCAGCGAACGGGUGAGUAACGCGUGGGGAAUCUGCCUUUGAGCGGGGGACAACAUUUGGAAACGAAUGCUAAUACCGCAUAAAAACUUUAAACACAAGUUUUAAGUUUGAAAGAUGCAAUUGCAUCACUCAAAGAUGAUUCCUCGUUGUAUUAGCUAGUUGGUGAGGUAAAGGCUCACCAAGGCGAUGAUACAUAGCCGACCUGAGAGGGGGAUCGGCCACAUUGGGAAGGAGACAAGGCCCAAACGACUAAGGGAGGCAGCAGUAGGGAAACUUCGGAAAUGGACGAAAGUCUGAACGAGCAACGCCGCGUGAGUGAAGAAGGGUGUCGGAUCGUAAAACUCCGUUGGUAGAGAAGAACGUUGGUGAGAGUGGAAAGCUCAUCAAGUGACGGUAACUACCCAGAAAGGGACGGCUAACUACGUG